UUUCCCCUCACAGUAUAAACAAGGCACAGAGAAGCUCAAACUGGGUGGAGUCCACUGCAGCUCUGCAUAGCUACUGUAGCCAGACUGCCUCUCUAGAUUACUCUCUCUGAGCAGGGCAUCUCUGAAAGAAAGGGAGUAGUCAAGUCAAAGGUUUAUAGAUAAAACUUCCAUUUCCCUGGGACAGAGCACCUGGGGGGAAGGGGUGGCUAUAGGUGCAGCUUCAGUUAACUUAAAUGUUCUUGCCUGCCAGCUCUGGAGCAGCAGAUUUCCCAGCACAGUGUUCAAGCUCUGCUAAGGGACAGACUGCCUCCUCACGUGGGUCCAUGACCCCCAUGCCUCCUGACUGGGAGACACCUCCCAGCAGGGGUUGACAGACACCUCAUGCAGGACAGCUCUGGCUCGCAUCUGGUGGGUGCCUCUCUGAGGCAAAAGUUCCAGAGGAAGGAAUAAGCAGUAAUCUUUGCAGUUCUGCACCCGUCACUGGUGAUACCCAGGCAAACAGGGCCUGGAGUAGACCUCCAGCAAACUCCAGCAGACCUGCAGCAGGUAGAUAAAUCCAUGAAGAUGAGGAGAAACCAGUGCAAAAACGCUGAACAUUCCAAAAGCCGGAAUGCCUCUUCUCCUCCA